UACGUAGGGCGCAAGCGUUAUCCGGAAUUACUGGGCGUAAAGGGUUCGUAGGCGGUGUGGCAAGUCGGGCGUGAAAUCUCUGGGCUCAACUCAGAGGCUGCUUCCGAAACUGGCAUGCUUGAGUGCGGGAGAGGCGAGUGGAAUUACAGGUGUAGCGGUGAAAUGCGUAGAUAUCUGUAGGAACACCCGUGGCGAAGGCGGCUCGCUGGACCGCAACUGACGCUGAGGAACGAAAGCUAGGGGAGCAAACAGG
rnacentral:rRNA from 1 species